rnacentral:misc_RNA from 1 species
GAAAUGCGAUAAGUAAUGUGAAUUGCAGAAUUCAGUGAAUCAUCGAAUCUUUGAACGCACAUUGCGCCCCUUGGUAUUCCGAGGGGCAUGCCUGUUCGAGCGUCAUUACACCACUCAAGCUAUGCUUGGUAUUGGGUGCCGUCCUUAGUUGGGCGCGCCUUAAAGACCUCGGCGAGGCCUCACCGGCUUUAGGCGUAGUAGAAUUUAUUCGAACGUCUGUCAAAGGAGAGGGCUUCUGCCGACUGAAACCUUUUAUUUUUCUAGGUUGACCUCGGAUCAGGUAGGGAUACCCGCUGAACUUAAGC